rnacentral:lncRNA from 1 species
CAGUGUUUGUGGUUUGUCACUCAGCUAUGCUCUUAGAAAAGAGGGAGGAGGCAAAAAACCAGAAGAGCCGCAACAGACAGUCUGUGCGCAGCAGAAGACCGCAGCAUCAAUGCGUUAUGAGGGGUUUGCGUGCGCUCUGGCCGUCUUGCUGUCCCUGAUGCUGCUGAUGGUUAUUAUGUCCCAGCAUGAAGUGACAAAAAGGUUAAAGAAGAACGAUGCUGUGGUGGAGGCGGAGGGACAGAGACUUUAUAAUGAGCUCCAAAGUCAAGGCCAGAUGAAAGUGGAUUUGGAGAAGGUGUUCGAUCUGGGCCAGAAAGUGGUGGGCAGUCUGCAGGCGGAGCUGACUGAGCUCACGCGUCAGCUGGAGAUGAGGCUACCUGAAAGUGAUGCCUGUCAAACAGAAACGAAAACCAAAACAGAUGAGCUGGAUCUGGCACAGAAGCAAUACAGCCACACUCAAGCUGCUUUACAAGCAGAGUCUGAUGCUUGGAACAAAGAGAUUAGCACUCUGAGAGAACAUCUGACAGGGUACAGAGAAAUAUGUGAUUAUGUCAAGAAGGAUCCGCUUGUUCUGACAUUGUGUGGUUCCAAACCCAGCUAACCUGAAGAUGGGAGUGGACAGUGCCGGUGAAUGAUGUUUAUUCUGAUUUAUUUUUUCCAUAUUCUUGUGUCAGUUGGAAUCAUCAUGACUGAAUUUCAACUGUAAUAAAAUGUCUGUGUGAUCUUUUUUUAUCUCUUCU